rnacentral:rRNA from 1 species
GAUGAACGCUGGCGGCGUGCCUAAUACAUGCAAGUCGAGCGAACGGACGAGAAGCUUGCUUCUCUGAUGUUGGCGGCGGACGGGUGAGUAACACGUGGAUAACCUACCUAUAAGACUGGGAUAACUUCGGGAAACCGGAGCUAAUACCGGAUAAUAUUUUGAACCGCAUGGUUCAAAAGUGAAAGACGGUCUUGCUGUCACUUAUAGAUGGAUCAGCGCUGCAUUAGCUAGUUGGUAAGGUAACGGCUUACCAAGGCAACGAUGCAUAGCCGACCUGAGAGGGUGAUCGGCCACACUGGAACUGAGACACGGUCCAGACUCCUACGGGAGGCAGCAGUAGGGAAUCUUCCGCAAUGGGCGAAAGCCUGACGGAGCAACGCCGCGUGAGUGAUGAAGGUCUUCGGAUCGUAAAACUCUGUUAUUAGGGAAGAACAUAUGUGUAAGUAACUGUGCACAUCUUGACGGUACCUAAUCAGAAAGCCACGGCUAACUACGUG